GAUAAACGCUAGCGGCAGGCUUAACACAUGCAAGUCGAGGGGCAGCAUAGAUUGUAGCAAUACAAUUGGUGGCGACCGGCGCACGGGUGCGUAACGCGUAUGCAACCUACCCGUCACAGGGGGAUAAUCCGGAGAAAUCUGGUCUAAUACCCCAUAACAUAUGGAUCGGCAUCGGUUCAUGUUUAAAUUAUCGGCGGUGACGGAUGGGCAUGCGUAGCAUUAGCUUGUUGGUGAGGUAACGGCUCACCAAGGUGACGAUGCGUAGGGGGACUGAGAGGUUUUCCCCCCACACUGGUACUGAGACACGGACCAGACUCCUACGGGAGGCAGCAGUGAGGAAUAUUGGUCAAUGGGCGCAAGCCUGAACCAGCCAUGCCGCGUGCAGGAUGACGGCUCUAUGAGUUGUAAACUGCUUUUGUACGAGGGUAAAGUGGGUUACGUGUAACCUUUUGAAAGUAUCGUGCGAAUAAGGAUCGGCUAACUCCGUGCCAGCUGCCGCGGUAA
rnacentral:rRNA from 1 species